AGCGAACGCUGGCGGCAGGCCUAACACAUGCAAGUCGAACGAAGUCUUCGGACUUAGUGGCGGACGGGUGAGUAACACGUGGGAACGUGCCUUUAGGUUCGGAUUAACUCAGGGAAACUUGUGCUAAUACCGAAUGUGCCCUUCGGGGGAAAGAUUUAUCGCCUUUAGAGCGGCCCGCGUCUGAUUAGCUGGUUGGUGAGGUAAUGGCUCACCAAGGCUACGAUCAGUAGCUGGUCUGAGAGGAUGACCAGCCACAUUGGGACUGAGACACGGCCCAAACUCCUACGGGAGGCAGCAGUGGGGAAUCUUGCGCAAUGGGCGAACGCCUGACGCAGCCAUGCCGCGUGGAUGAUGAAGGUCUUAGGAUUGUAAAAUCCUUUCACCGGUGAAGAUAAUGACUGUAGCCGGAGAAGAAGCCCCGGCUAACUUCGUGCCAGCCGCCGCCGUAACAC
rnacentral:rRNA from 1 species